AACAGUGGGCCAAGAAGACCAGCCCAGUCGAAAACUAAAGUAAAUGUCUGGAAGGUGGAGAGUGUAAAGUCCCACAUCGGUUGCAAGAAACAAGAAGGCUUCGAGACUUGAGUAUAAAGUAAAAACUAAUGUGAUCGAGUAAAGUACUUACCUGGACGGGGUCAACUCGUGAUCAAGAAGACGAGUGGCCUAGGCUAGUGACUUCCAUUGCACUUAAAGGAAGGGUGCUUAGCCUAAGGUCUUCCCAUGUGGAAGAGCCUGCGUCAUUAUUUGUGGCAGAGGGGGUUUGCGUUCGCGCAGCCCCUACCAUUCUCAGUCUUCAAAUGUUUCUAUUAUUUCAUUGCUAAUUUUGGUUAUUCCUUCACUUUUAUUGUUCUUGCAACACAUUCUAAAAUCCUUAUGGAUAUGUAGUAUGGACGA